ACAGCAGUCGCCACGGUAAAACGGAGGGUGCAAGCGUUAAUCGGAAUUACUGGGCGUAAAGCGCACGCAGGCGGUCUGACAAGUCAGAUGUGAAAUCCCCGGGCUUAACCUGGGAACUGCAUUUGAAACUGUCAGGCUGGAGUCUUGUAGAGGGGGGUAGAAUUCCAGGUGUAGCGGUGAAAUGCGUAGAGAUCUGGAGGAAUACCGGUGGCGAAGGCGGCCCCCUGGACAAAGACUGACGCUCAGGUGCGAAAGCGUGGGGAGCAAACAGGAUUAGAUACCCCUGUAGUCCCUGUCUCUUAUAC
rnacentral:rRNA from 1 species